UACGGAGGGUGCGAGCGUUGUCCGGAAUCACUGGGCGUAAAGGGCGCGUAGGCGGCCCUCCUUGUCGCGUGUGAAAGCCCCGGGCUCAACCUGGGAACGGCGCGCGAGACGGGGGGGCUGGAGUUCGGGAGAGGAGCGUGGAAUUCCCAGUGUAGAGGUGAAAUUCGUAGAUAUUGGGAAGAACACCGGUGGCGAAGGCGGCGCUCUGGACCGAGACUGACGCUGAGGCGCGAAAGCGUGGGGAGCAAACAGG
rnacentral:rRNA from 1 species